AGGGAAUCUUCGGCAAUGGACGGAAGUCUGACCGAGCAACGCCGCGUGAGUGAAGAAGGUUUUCGGAUCGUAAAGCUCUGUUGUAAGAGAAGAACGAGUGUGAGAGUGGAAAGUUCACACUGUGACGGUAUCUUACCAGAAAGGGACGGCUAACUACGUGCCAGCAGCCGCGGUAAUACGUAGGUCCCGAGCGUUGUCCGGAUUUAUUGGGCGUAAAGCGAGCGCAGGCGGUUAGAUAAGUCUGAAGUUAAAGGCUGUGGCUUAACCAUAGUACGCUUUGGAAACUGUUUAACUUGAGUGCAAGAGGGGAGAGUGGAAUUCCAUGUGUAGCGGUGAAAUGCGUAGAUAUAUGGAGGAACACCGGUGGCGAAAGCGGCUCUCUGGCUUGUAACUGACGCUGAGGCUCGAAAGCGUGUGGAGCAAACAGGAUUAGAUACCCUGGUAGUCCACGCCGUAAACGAUGAGUGCUAGGUGUUAGACCCUUUCCGGGGUUUAGUGCCGCAGCUAACGCAUUAAGCACUCCGCCUGGGGAGUACGACCGCAAGGUUG
rnacentral:rRNA from 1 species